GCCUGAACUGAAACAUCUAAGUAGGGCGAGGAAGAGACAUCAAACGAGAUUCCGUUAGUAGUGGCGAGCGAACGCGGAAGAGGGCAAACCGGAAGGAGAAAUCCUUCCGGGGUAUGGACCGCUUUUAGGACUUGAGUUGUUAACCGAAUGGCAUGGGAAGGCCAAUCAAAGAGGGUGAGAAUCCCGUAGGUGAAAAUGACGAGAGCUGCGCGAGUUCCAGAGUACGGCCAGACACGUGAAACCUGGUCGGAAGAUGGGGGGACCACCCUCCAACCCUAAAUACUACCCAGUGACCGAUAGCGUAUAGUACUGUGAAGGAAAGGUGAAAAGGACCCCGGGAGGGGAGUGAAAUAGAACCUGAAACCUUGUGCCUACAAGCACAUAGAGCACAUCAACGUGUGAUAUGGUACUUUUUGUAGAACGGUCCGGCGAGCGAUUGUAUGUUGCGAGCUUAAGGUCUUAAGGACUGGAGGCGUAGCGAGAGCGAGUCUGAACAGGGCGUUCAGUAGCAUGCAAUGGGCCCGAAACCGGGUGACCUACCCAUGAUCAGGCUGAAGUGAAAGUAAAAUUUCAUGGAGGGCCGAACCGACCUCCGUUGAAAAGGCGGCGGAUGAAUUGUGGGUAGCGGAGAAAUUCCAAUCGAACUCGGAGAUAGCUGGUUCUCCCCGAAAUAGCUUUAGGGCUAGCCUCAUAUUAGAUACCCGGAGGUAAAGCACUGAAUGGCCUAGCGCCCGAGAGGGUAGCGAAGCCUAUCAAACUAAGAAUGCCGGAGUAUUGAUGUAUGGGAGUCAGACAGUGUGAGAUAAAUCUCAUUGUCAAAAGGGAAACAGCCCAGAUCUACAGCUAAGGUCCCAAAUUGUAUCUAAGUGGAAAACGAUGUGGAAAUACGCAGACAACCAGGAUGUUGGCUCAGAAGCAGCCACUCAUUUAAAGAGUGCGUAAUAGCUCACUGGUCGAGCGUCUCUGCGCGGAAAAUUUAACGGGGCUAAGAUACAAACCGAAGCUUAGGCUGCAUCGUAAGAUGCGGGGUAGGGGAGCGUUGUGUAAGCGGAGAAACAGUAGCGUAAGCGGCUGUGGAGUUUACAGAAGUGAGAAUGCCGGAAUGAGUAGCGCGAAUGUGGUGAGAAUCCACAUGGCCGGAAACCUCAGGUUUUUGGAGGAAGGUUCGUCCGCUCCAAGUUAGGCGGGAGCUAAGGUCAGGCCGAAAGGCGUAGCCGAUGCACAGACGGUAGAGAUUCCGUCCCCACCGAAAGAUUUAAGCACAGGGACACUUUUAGAAGGUCGGAGCCAGGUGUUGGUUCUGGUAGUGAUCGAGGGAAAUUUAGUACCGAAGUCCGGCUGGAUAAGAGGCGAGAAAAGCUGUGUGUAUAUCUAAGGUGCCCGUACCGCAAACCGACACAGGUAGGUAGGAAGAAGAUUCUAAGGCCAACGGGAGAAGGGUUGUUAAGGAACUCGGCAAGUUGACCCCGUAACUUCGGAAUAAGGGGUGCUCACGAGAGUGAGCCGCAGAGAAUAGGCCCAGGCAACUGUUUACCAAAAACACAGGUUUGUGCUAAAUCGAAAGAUGACGUAUACGAGCUGACGCCUGCCCGGUGCUGGAAGGUUAAGAGGAGAUGUGCAAGCAUUGAAUCGAAGCCCCAGUGAACGGCGGCCGUAACUAUAACGGUCCUAAGGUAGCGAAAUUCCUUGUCAGGUAAGUUCUGACCCGCAUGAAAGGCGUAAUGAUUUGGGCACUGUCUCAACAGCCCGCCCGGCGAAAUUGUAGUACCGGUGAAGAUGCCGGUUACCCGCGACAAGACGGAAAGACCCCAUGGAGCUUUACUGUAGCCUGAUAUUGGGUUUCGGUGUUGCAUGCACAGGAUAGAUGGGACGCUGGGAAAGAAGCGCUUUGGCGUUUCUGGAGCGGACGUUGGGAUACCAUCCUUGCGACAUUGGAAUUCUAACCUGCGCCUCUGAAUCGAGGCGGGGGACAUUGUCAGGUGGGCAGUUUGACUGGGGCGGUCGCCUCCUAAAAAGUAGCGGAGGCGUUCAAAGGUUCGUUCGAUCUGGACGGAAACCAGAUGAAUGAGUGCAAACGCAUAAACGAGCCUGACUGCGAGACUGACGGGUCGAGCAGAGACGAAAGUCGGAGUUAGUGAUCCGGUGGUAUGUGAGUGGAAAUGCCAUCGCUCAACGGAUAAAAGUUACCCUGGGGAUAACAGGCUGAUCUCCCCCAAGAGUCCACAUCGACGGGGAGGUUUGG
rnacentral:rRNA from 1 species